GACGAACGCUGGCGGCGUGCCUAAUACAUGCAAGUUGAGCGCUGAAGGUUGGUACUUGUACCAACUGGAUGAGCAGCGAACGGGUGAGUAACGCGUGGGGAAUCUGCCUUUGAGCGGGGGACAACAUUUGGAAACGAAUGCUAAUACCGCAUAAAAACUUUAAACACAAGUUUUAAGUUUGAAAGAUGCAAUUGCAUCACUCAAAGAUGAUCCCGCGUUGUAUUAGCUAGUUGGUGAGGUAAAGGCUCACCAAGGCGAUGAUACAUAGCCGACCUGAGAGGGUGAUCGGCCACAUUGGGACUGAGACACGGCCCAAACUCCUACGGGAGGCAGCAGUAGGGAAUUUUCGGCAAUGGACGAAAGUCUGACCGAGCAACGCCGCGUGAGUGAAGAAGGUUGUCGGAUCGUAAAACUCUGUUGGUAGAGAAGAACGUUGGUGAGAGUGGAAAGCUCAUCAAGUGACGGUAACUACCCAGAAAGGGACGGCUAACUACGUG
rnacentral:rRNA from 1 species